rnacentral:tRNA from 6 species
GGGGCUGUGGUGAAGAGGGAUCACGACACAAUGGCAUUGUGUAGUCACGAGUUCGAUUCUCGUCAGCUCCACCA